GUUGAUGAUUCAGUGAGUGUAAAUGACAUAGAUUUAAGCCUGUACAUCCCAAGAGAUGUAGAUGAAACAGGUAUUACUGUAGCCAGUCUUGAAAGAUUCAGCACAUAUACUUCAGAUAAAGAUGAGGGAAGACAUGGUCAUGGGAAGGGCUUUUUAGGAUAUGGAAAACCUAAAUGUAUCUGUAGCUCAGAGGAAGAGGAUCUGAAAACAAAUUAAGUGAAGCUUCUGGAGGUAGGGCUGAAAAUGGUGAAAGAAGUGACUUGGAAGAGGACAACGAGAGGGAGGGAACGGAAAAUGGAGCCAUUGAUGCUGUUCCUGUUGAUGAAAAUCUUUUCACUGGAGAGGAUUUGGAUGAACUAGAAGAAGAAUUAAAUACACUUGAUUUAGAAGAAUGACACCAAACACAUCGCUGAAAAAAUUAAGUCAGCUCAGCACGAGUUGAAAUUGACUACAUUAAUUUCUUUCCACCUAGAAUCAACAGGAUGUUUAUUUCCUAUGCUGAUUCUGGAGGAGUUAACCUCCUGCAAAAAAGGCAUCUUGUCCCUACAUCUUCUCUUCUGACUUUGGCUACAUCUCAUAGUAAGUUCAGAGUAGUUCAUGAUAAAUUGAAAAUAUAAUGGUCAUUGCAGAAAAUGAUUGAUGUUGUAACUGUCCACCCAAGUAAGAAGUGUAUCUGCCUUUCCAUCUUUUGGUUUUCAUUUGGGCAUGUGCUAUUACCAGAAACAACAAACUUAUAUUUAAAAUACCCUUCAUUUGACACAGUUUUUAAUGAGUGA
rnacentral:lncRNA from 1 species